UUAAUGGAUCUUCUAGGAUCCACUAAGAAAUCUUAAAACUUUGCCU
rfam:Pelodiscus sinensis unplaced genomic scaffold scaffold462, whole genome shotgun sequence.